rnacentral:rRNA from 1 species
AAUAACCUACGGGACGCAGCAGUGAGGAAUAUUGGUCAAUGGGCGGAAGCCUGAACCAGCCACGUCGCGUGAGGGAAUAAGGCCCUACGGGUCGUAAACCUCUUUUGCCGGGGAGCAAGGGCGGGGACGUGUCCCGGCCCGGAGAGUACCCGGAGAAAAAGCAUCGGCUAACUCCGUGCCAGCAGCCGCGGUAAUACGGAGGAUGCGAGCGUUAUCCGGAUUUAUUGGGUUUAAAGGGUGCGUAGGCGAGCUUUUAAGUCAGCGGUAAAAAUUCGGGGCUC